rnacentral:rRNA from 1 species
GCUUGCUUCUGAUACUUAGUGGCGGACGGGUGAGUAAUGCUUAGGAAUCUGCCUAGUAGUGGGGGAUAACUUGGGGAAACCCAAGCUAAUACCGCAUACGACCUACGGGUGAAAGGGGGCUUUUAGCUCUCGCUAUUAGAUGAGCCUAAGUCGGAUUAGCUGGUUGGUGGGGUAAAGGCCUACCAAGGCGACGAUCUGUAGCUGGUCUGAGAGGAUGAUCAGCCACACUGGGACUGAGACACGGCCCAGACUCCUACGGGAGGCAGCAGUGGGGAAUAUUGGACAAUGGGCGAAAGCCUGAUCCAGCCAUGCCGCGUGUGUGAAGAAGGCCUUUUGGUUGUAAAGCACUUUAAGUGGGGAGGAAAAGCUUAUGGUUAAUACCCAUAAGCCCUGACGUUACCCACAGAAUAAGCACCGGCUAACUCUGUGCCAGCAGCCGCGGUAAUACAGAGGGUGCAAGCGUUAAUCGGAAUUACUGGGCGUAAAGCGCGCGUAGGUGGUUAUUUAAGUCAGAUGUG